GCUGAUGUGGCUCAGUGGGUUGAGCAUCAGCCUGCGGACUGAAGGGUCCUGGGUUCGAUUCCCGGUCAAGGGCA
rnacentral:tRNA from 1 species